GAUGAACGCUAGCUAUAGGCUUAACACAUGCAAGUCGAGGGACCGGCGCACGGGUGAGUAACGCGUAUCCAACCUGCUCAUAACUAAGGGAUAACCCAGCGAAAGUUGGACUAAUACCUUCUGGUUAUGGAUGGUGCUGCGCCUGAUUAGCUUGUUGGCGGGGUAACGGCCCACCAAGGCAACGAUCAGUAGGGGUUCUGAGAGGAAGUUCCAACAAAUUGGAACUGGGACACGGUCCAAACGACUACGGGAGGCAGCAGUGAGGAAUAUUGAUAAAUGGACGCAAGUCUGAACCAGCAAAGUAGCGUGCAGGAUGACGGCCUAUGGGUUGUAAACUGCUUUGAUAUGGGGAUAGGUACCAUAUGAAUAAGGACCGGCUAAUUCCGUGCCAGCAGCCGCGGUAAAAC
rnacentral:rRNA from 1 species